GCUCACUUACAUGUGGAAUUUUUAAAAGAUGAAUACAUGGAAGAGGAGAGUAGAAUGGUGGUUUCCAGGGUCUGGGGAAUGGGGGAAAUGGGGAGGUGUUGGUCAGAGGGUAGAAAUUGCAUUUACGUAAGAUGAAUACAUCUAGACAGUUGAUGAACAGUGUAAUGGCCACAGUUAAUAAUUCUGAACUGCAUACUGGAAAUUUGCAAAGAGAAUGGAUUUCAAACUCUCUCACUACAUGCACACAAAUGAUAGCUAUGUAAGGAGAUGCUUAUGUUAAUUUGCUUGACUAUAGUAAUCAUUUCAAUAUGUAUAUGUGUAUCAAAACCUGUUGUACAUCUUAAGUAUAUAUAAUGUUUUAAAGUCAGAUCACAUCAUUCGUCUGCUCAAACCCCUUGAAGGUCUCCGAAUUUCCCUUGGAGAAAGCCAAAGACACUCCGGGAUAUGGACUGCACUUCAUUGCCGCUCAGAUCUUUUCUCCUCUGCCUUCAGUGCUUGCUUUUCCUUUCACUGGGAUUACUCCCCCAGGUACCCGCGAGGCUGGCAUUUGCCUUCAAAUCUUAGCUCCAGUAUCGGCUCUGCUGCUUCUGCUGGCUACUGCAUUUAAAUGCAGCCUAAGCCAGGUGUGGUGGUGCAGGCCUGGAGUCCCAGCUAUUUGGGAGGCUGAGAAGGGAGGAGAGCUUGAGCCCAGGAGUUCAAGUCCAGCUUGCGCAACAUAGCAAGACCCCAUCCCUUAGCGAGCUUGUCCGCUUUCCACUGCUUGAAGACCUUUUCUGAAUAAAUGGAUUAUUCAGUCCAUCAUGAUAAGCCCCCGGGUGUGACCUGUAAUCCCAGUCCUUUGGGAGACCGAGGCGGGUGGAUCACGAGGUUAGGAGAUGGAGAUCAUCGUGGCUAACACGGUGAAACCCCGUCUCUACUAAAAAUACCAAAAAAAAAUAGCCGCGCGUGAUGGCGGGCGCCUUGUAGUCCCAGCUACUCGGGAGGCUGAGGCAGGAGAAUGCCGCGAACCCGGGAGGCGGAGCUUGCGCUGAGCCAAGAUCGCUCCACUGCACUCCAGC
rnacentral:lncRNA from 10 species